rnacentral:rRNA from 1 species
UUCUGUUUGAUCCCUGGGGACGCUACUGGUAUUGGGGUUCGAUUAAAUCAUGCAAGUUGAACUAUUCUUCGGAAUCAUGCCAAACCGCUCCCUAUCACGUGUAUAACCUACCCUUAUGACCUGUAUAGCCCUGGGAAACUGGGGACAAUCCCUGAUAGGUGAUUUUUUCUGUACAUGAUUUUUCAUUUUGAUGCUCCUGCGCCUGAGGAUGGUUCUGCAGCAGAUUAGAUGCCUGGUACGGUAAUGCUCUACCACGCCUGUGAUCUGUACAGGUUGUGAGAACACGACCCCGGAGAUGGAACCUGACACAAGGUUCCGUGGCGUACACGCCGCACCAGGCGCCAAACCUCCGCAAUGCCAUAAAUCCCGACGGUUGGACUCCCUUUGCUUCUCUUAACGGGGUGGCUUUUCUUAUUUGUAAAAAGCUUUUGGAAUAAGGGCUGGCUAAGACCUGUGCAUUCCGCGGUGUAAACACCCUCAGCUCUAGUGAUAGCCAUUUUUAUUGUGGCUCAAGCGUUCGUACCCCGUUUGAUUAGACUCUGGUGAAAUCCUGUACCUUAGCUGCGGGAAUUGCUGGAGAUACACUCAUACUCGAGGUCGGAAGACGUUAACGCCACUCCCAGGGUAUGCGUGAGAUCCUGUAAGCAUGUUACGACUCCUGUCGCUAGGCUGCUACUGGCACGAUCUCGACGUUAGCACGAAUCUAGGGCGCGUACCGAUACAUCUCGGGAGCCUGUUCUACUACGAGACUGCGUUGCCGCUCAACUGUCAUGCGAGGACUGUAGACCUCUGGUAUUGCAAACUAACUAGCAUGCGGACACCCCAUGUCUGUUAUGAUAGCGAAUCACUCGAGCCUAUCUUGAACUCUCAGUAGACGAGCCGAUAACGAGCUGGCGAGUACAUAUCGGCAGGAGACGAAGCUCAAUAUAUGGGUUAUCGAGACCUCUAUAU